GGGAUCCUUCCCCACGAAGGCAACGCCGCAUCCACCCAGAUGCCGACCUCCCUCGCCCCCAACCCAACCCCCGCCGGCGACCUUCGUCUCCCCCAGCCCAAUCCUACCCCGCUCUCCUCUCUCCCUAUGCCCCUACCUUCCUCCCUCCUUGACGGAGCCCGAAACUCUAGCUCAUCUGUUCCAUGGUUCCGGCCAUGGAUGGGGAGACCACGGACGCGGCAAUCGCCGUCCCACCCCGCACCUAUUCCGGCGAUGACGAUGCCGAAUCCGCAUCAGCAGCAGCCGAUCUGCACCCAACCACGACGGCUGCAGCUCGAUGGAGGAUGUAGGCUAGCCGCAUCGCUGAGUCCAACCAGGGCGUGGCACACCUGGAACCUCGCUGCCGCGGUGGUGCAGAACCAGCGUCGUGGCGGGCAACAACAGCAGGAGGAUAAAGAGACAGGGGAGCUCUCGGGGAGAUGACUGCUAAAUCACAGCUACCACAAAAAACACAGGCCAACACCUCGGACAUAACCCAUGCACCGGCCACUGUGAUUUCGCAUAUGGCAUGUUCUAAUCACUAGAGUGAAAGGCGAGCUCCAGACUUGGUAGAUGAUGCAGAGUGAAGAACUACAAUCUGAAGAAAGCAAGCAUCAACAAGGCUGAUACUGCUACUCUAUUUGAUCAUCCACUUUGCCGCAGUUUGGGCUAAGCAAGGUGGUUGGACAAUAGGGGAGCAGUAUUCCAAGAAAUUGAUUUCUUCGUCUGAUUUAGGGUGGUCUUCAGAAUCUGACAAGAAAUUGAUGCAAUUGAAGGUCCAACAUGAUUGUGCUGAUGCUCUCUCCUUUGUAGACGACCAUCCCGAUGUUUGGGGUUUACUUACUUGGUUUACAACACAAGAUUCCUGACCAGAAGGGGAACAACGCGGCGAUCACCAAGUAAGUUUUGCUCUGACUUUCUUUUGCAGAGUUAAUUGGUCUUAAACUUAAUUUCCAGGGAUGCUGAUGAAGCUUCUUAAUUGGCUAGAUGGAUUUGAUGAGGUUGCCAUGGUAAACUAACAUCAUCAAGUUUUUUUUCCUCUAGAUGCCUUUAUGCCAUAAAUGCAAAGGAACGGAUUCAAUCGAAGUAAUUUGCUAGCUAAUGUGUGUGUGAUAUGCACUCUAGCUUUCCUUGCUCUUGGGGAAAGUAUAGGUGUUUCAACAUGAAUUUUGCAGAUAAAAUCUAUUGUUCAUCAUUGCUUCAUUGUUUCUCUGAAUUUACUGGAUGUUGAUUCACAUUACAUUUUAUUUACUCCCUUAUCUAACGUAUCACAUUUUUUAGAAGGAUUUUUUUUAGGAUUGUAGGUUUUGUUCUGUCUUAUUGUUGACAUGCCAACAUAAUUACCUGAUUGUCUGAUAGGCUUGAAUUCUUACGAUUUCCUUCUUACUGUGUUUGUUUUAUUUAAUUUUGUGAAAAAUCUGAUUUUAUCCUAACCUGAUACAUCUUGAUCACUUAUGCCGAGAAGGGUUCAUCGUCCCAAUCAAGGUGAGUAAAUCGACCACCUCUUUGGUGCUUUUGCAAUUGGUAAUGUGCUACUUGUGGCUUGAGUGGCUUCAGUUCAGUGAAGAACACAACUUAUUUGCACUUGCUAGAAUAUAAUUAUCCUUUGUGAUUUUGCUAUGCGACUUGAUUGAUUUCAGGUUAGGAACAUGAUUAGGCUGUUGCAUUGUGCAUGACCAUGGGAAGACACUGUUUCCCAUCAUAUAGUUAGUGUGAUGGUACAAUUUCCCAUGCAGUAUAAGCUGGAGUGUGAGCUUUGCCUAUGCCCUUAGUAGCUUACAAAAUUUCACCUUAUUCCACUUUCAUGGUACUAUAUUGCCAUCAUGAAGCAUGGUCAUUUGGUUAGGAGUAUUUGUUUUACAACCUCGGGUUCACAUUAGUUGUUUCUCUUCAUGGCGAGUUAGCUUCAUCGGUGUCAUUUUCAGCUCGAUGGUCAUGAAUUAAUUGUGACUUCCUAUCUACUCACACUUACUUCAACAAUUGCUUGUUUUAACCAUAACUUAUUAUUCAGAUUGUCUUUGAUGUGUGAGUUUCAGCAACAUACACAACAUUGCACACUAUUAUGGAACGGAGGGAGUAUGUUCUUUUAUUACUAAUCCCACUUUCCAUGUGCAUGCUAGGCAAGUUGCCUUUCAGGUCCAGUGCAUCACUAGGCGAUUAUACGUUGUUUUCGGUUAGAUCAACUUGCAUCAGUCGCUGCUCGGUGUGUGAAAGGGGAAGUUCAGAAGUAGUGGGGAGUGCAGCUGACUAAAAUCCAUAUAGCAAUUGUGUUGGGUACAUCAAGAUGAAGAUCAAGAGAUUUUUUCAUGAAAUGCAUCAUGUUGUUUCUGAUGUGAAAAUGGAUUAUACCAGGCCUCUGGAGGACUCUGAAAGGUGUUCUUUUUAUUUGUUUCCUUAGUUGUGGCCUCAUGAGGUCCCUUUCUUUAGCCAAACUGAAGCACUUCAUGUUAGCUUGUCUUCACUUUUUGAUUAACUGUAAUGCAUUGUCUUACUCGUUUAUGCUCCCCAGGUGAGUCCCGCAUAUCCUCAUUAGAUGUAGCACUGGCUAUGUCGCACAUAUCCUCAUUAGAUGUAGCACUGGCUAUGACGGUUCUGAACUCAAAUAAUAUAGUAUAUGUAUGUUUGCUCGAUCUGGAAAUAAUAUAUCUUGAUGUUAUA